GUAAAACAUUGAUCCGAGUCCACAAUAUUGACCCGGCCCAUACGUGGGAUAUGAAAGGUUUCUAAAAGCUAAAACAUAAGGCAUUUCUUUGUUGAAGUACACAGUACUCUUUAGCAUCCCUCUCCGGCAUCUUCUCUCUCCGGAAUGAAUGUUGAAUUUGUGUUGUACCUGUUGUGCGCCUCUCGUCAUCAUGCUCUUUCUCAUCUGGAUCAUAUGAUUUCGCUAGGUUCAAGAAAGGUCGUGGAAAGACUAGAGGGAAAGGACUUGAAAAUAUGAAGAAGGUUAUGGGAAGCAAGAUGAAAAUAGAGAUCCCGAUUGGUAAAGGAAGGCCAACUAAGCCAAUUCAAUCAGCCAAACUAUCCAAUGAAUUAGGGAUAAUUGCUUGAAAUUUUCUUCCACUUCCAAACAAAUGGAAGGAACUUACAAGAAAGGACAAAGAUGCAACACUAAUUAGAUGCCACAAAAGUAUUCUGCAUUUAUGCUAUUCUUAAAUUAAUCGAAUAUCACAUUACCUAUUUAUUUAGUUAAACCAACUUCAGUUGGCAUUCGUUUUAAUUACAAUAUGUCAAUAAAAUAAUAUUUACAUA